rnacentral:misc_RNA from 1 species
GUCAGGAUUGUCUCCUUGAGGCUGCUGUGACAGGGGCUGCAGCGGAGGUGGCAGUGGUGGUAACGGUGGCAUACUUUCCACAUUUGAAUCCUGCAAGUCAAGAAUUUCUUGAGUUUGUUUAGGUGAUGAACUUUUAUUGGGAGUUGGAGGAGACGAAACUGCGGCAGUUGUAGCAGUGGAGAUUGCUUUAUCCUUAUUGAGGAAAAGUU